GGGUUGUGAGGUUAAGCGACUAAGCGUACACGGUGGAUGCCCUGGCAGUCAGAGGCGAUGAAGGACGUGCUAAUCUGCGAUAAGCGUCGGUAAGGUGAUAUGAACCGUUAUAACCGGCGAUUUCCGAAUGGGGAAACCCAGUGUGAUUCGUCACACUAUCAUUACGUGAAUACAUAGCGUAAUGAAGCG
rnacentral:rRNA from 1 species